rnacentral:rRNA from 1 species
UGUAAUGUUGGGUUAGUCCGCAACGAGCGCACCUUAUCCUUGUUUGCCAGCACUUCGGGUGGGAACUCCAGGAGACUGCCGGUGAUAAACCGGAGGAAGGUGGGGACGACGUCAAGUCAUCAUGGCCCUUACGAGUAGGGCUACACACGUGCUACAAUGGCGUAUACAGAGGGCUGCCAACUCGCGAGAGUGAGCGAAUCCCAGAAAGUACGUCGUAGUCCGGAUUGGAGUCUGCAACUCGACUCCAUGAAGUCGGAAUCGCUAGUAAUCGUGGAUCAGAAUGCCACGGUGAAUACGUUCCCGGGCCUUGUACACACCGCCCGUCACACCAUGGGAGUGGGCUGCACCAGAAGUAGAUAGCUUAACCUUAGGGAGGGCGUUUACCACGGUGUGGUUCAUGACUGGGGUGAAGUCGUAACAAGGUAGCCCUAGGGGAACCUGGGGCUGGAUCACCUCCUU